CAUUUAUGUUAGGCCUACUUACAAAACGUUUCAGUAAAUUAUCGUGACUGCUAUGGUAGAUAUAUUGGCUCGAAUAACCUAAACGCGUUGUAGCGCCAGAGAACAUCAGCGUGGACAAAGUGGGAUCUACUGGGUUUACAGUGAGUUUCAAUGGCGUACCAAUCGCUGCAAGUUACCAAGUGAAGGUAACGGCCCAGCAUGACUCGUCAGAUUCUGAUAUAUUUAAAAUUCGAGCUUCUAGCAACGCAAGACAAUCGUAUGAGGUUAAAAGCAGAAAAAGCAAUAGAAACUACAUUGUUCAAGUAAGAGCUCUUGAUGGAAAGAACACAGCAAGUAAUUACACAACUAAAACGGGCCCUUAUGCCAGAACAGCUCCGGAUGGUUCAAGGAUUCUGAACGUGAUUACCACUCCAACUUUCAUCACCAUCUUCCUGGAAGAAACUCCGGGAGCAACAGCAUGGGAGGUUGAGGUUAAUGACACAAUUACAGGGACAUCAAGGAUCAUCUCUGUUCCAACUGGUGUUCCUUCAAAUACAUCCUAUGUGGCUAUG